UACGAAGGGGGCUAGCGUUGCUCGGAAUCACUGGGCGUAAAGGGUGCGUAGGCGGGUUUUUAAGCAGAGGUGAAAUCCUGGAGCUCAACUCCAGAACUGCCUUUGAUACUGAAAGUCUUGAGUAUGGGAGAGGUGAGUGGAACUGCGAGUGUAGAGGUGAAAUUCGUAGAUAUUCGCAAGAACACCAGUGGCGAAGGCGGCUCACUGGCCCGUACUGAC
rnacentral:rRNA from 1 species